GUUUGGUUUCUUUUUUUAACUAACUCUCUUUACAUGUUUCAAUUCACCACUUCUUUUUCAACAUUCUUAAUUAUGAAUAAUACAUUUAAAAUACAUGAACAUUCAAAAUAAAAUACAUUUAUAUUUGUUGGAUAUUUUGACUCUGCCUCUCAUAACUACUGUAUUUAUUAAUGUUAUUUAAUUUAUACAGGGCCUUUCAAAAUUAAUUUUAAAUUAAAUAUUUCUUUGAAAUACUUAUU